rnacentral:rRNA from 1 species
UGAGUAACCUGCCCUUCACUCUGGGAUAACUCCGGGAAACCGGGGCUAAUACUGGAUAUGACUCGAACAGGCAUCUGUUUCGGGUGGAAAGAUUUAUUGGUGGAGGAUGGACUCGCGGCCUAUCAGCUUGUUGGUGAGGUAAUGGCUCACCAAGGCGACGACGGGUAGCCGGCUGAGAGGGCGAUCGGCCACACUGGGACUGAGACACGGCCCAGACUCCUACGGGNGCA